CACUCCUUGCCCUCACAUUCAAAACCAACAUGCCUCACUUCCUCACCCUCUUCCCCACGGCUGUUUCUCCCUCCUCAACAGCCCUUGCUCAUUUUCUCCUCCACCAGCAGCUGCCUCCUCCUCCACAAGCAGCAACCGACACCUCCCUGUCCUCCAAAAGUAGCAGGCGGCAGCAACUAGUCGUGAUCCACCCACCUAGCAGCAACAACUGCUGCUUUGUGCCUCCAAACAGCAACAAGCUGCUGUGAUGCUAGCCCCAUGCAGCCUUCCUUCACCAUCACACACGGUGGGCCGCACCACCAUACCAACUCCUUCCUCUUCCUUCAAUGGUGAUUGAGGAGGCGACGUCAUCGAGGAACCAUUCUAGCUGUUAGCCGCGAAUCGAUCACGGCUCUUUGAAGCGUCUUGUUGCAUAUCUACAGAUCGGAACCGGUCGGGAACGAUGAGUUAACGGUGUUAAAUAGCGUUCCAAGGAUGUAUAUUGAGCUGAGCACGUAGGAAUUUAUAAUUUUGUAUUUGGUUUUUGGAUAAAUGUAUAUUUGUUUUGGUUGUGUUGGUUAUAUCGGUCUUGUAGAGAAUUGUAUGAUUAUCUUGUGUAUUAGUUAGAUGUUGGCUUUGGGAUUUAGCUGAGUUAGUCACGUUGAAGAGCUUGUGACCCCUUGCUUGAGUUUUGGAAGUGUAAUUUCAGUUUCUUGGGAAACGAACCUAGUGAUGACCCUGUUUACCCAGUCAACGGUAACUCGGGUUGUUACAAUGUUAUUAUUAGUAGCAAGUAUAAUAGAAGGGAGAAAAUAUAUUAUUAAUCAUACAUGGAUGAAAUGUUUUUAAUGGUUGUAUGUCAAAUUAAUGUAAAGUGCUUGAUUGAAUUUAAUUAUGCACUAGCUCUUUGAAUUUUGAUUAAAGAAUUUAUUUGAUAAAUGAUUACUUGUUGGAA